GACGAACGCUGGCGGCGUGCCUAAUACAUGCCAGUUGAGCGCUGAAGGUUGGUACUUGUACCAACUGGAUGAGCAGCGAACGGGUGAGUAACGCGUGGGGAAUCUGCCUUUGAGCGGGGACAACAUUUGGAAACGAAUGCUAAUACCGCAUAAAAACUUUAAACACAAGUUUUAAGUUUGAAAGAUGCAAUUGCAUCACUCAAAGAUGAUCCCGCGUUGUAUUAGCUAGUUGGUGAGGUAAAGGCUCACCAAGGCGAUGAUACAUAGCCGACCUGAGAGGGUGAUCGGCCACAUUGGGACUGAGACACGGCCCAAACUCCUACGGGAGGCAGCAGUAGGGAAUCUUCGGCAAUGGACGAAAGUCUGACCGAGCAACGCCGCGUGAGUGAAGAAGGUUUUCGGAUCGUAAAACUCUGUUGGUAGAGAAGAACGUUGGUGAGAGUGGAAAGCUCAUCAAGUGACGGUAACUACCCAGAAAGGGACGGCUAACUACGUG
rnacentral:rRNA from 1 species